AAUAGUUUUUUAAAUGAAAACUGGAAUGAAUGAAGUGAUGAAAUUUAAACUGUCUUAAAUUAAAAAAUUGAAUUUAUUAUUUAAGUAAAAAAACUUAGAUGAUAAUAUGGGACGAGAAGACCCUAUAGAAUUUUAUAUAAAUUUUUAAUUGGAUAUAAUUUAGUAAUAUUGUUAUAAUAAAUUUAUAUUUUAUUGGGAGGAUAUUUAAAUUAAUAAAACUUUAAAUUAAUAAUUCCAUAGAUUUAUGAUUGUAGAUGAAUGGUUAUUAUUGACUUAAUUAGAAUUAAUUACCUUAGGGAUAACAGCGUAAUAUCUUUAGAGAGUUCAUAUUAAUAAGGAUGAUUGC
rnacentral:rRNA from 1 species